UUUGGGACAACUAGAAUAACUAUUCAAUGAUUCAAUGAAAAAAAAAAGAAAAAAAAUUAAGAAUCAAUUUUCACAAUCAAAUCAGAUUUUUCAAACACCCUAACACUAUUCAUCAUCUUCUUCAUUUCUCCUCAUUUCUCAAAUCCCAUUCCUCUCAUGAUUAAGCAAGAAAUGAAUCAAGAACUCGAAAUCUCCCUCACCCCUUCCAAAAUUCUUCUCAUUUUGCCAUGGAAACCCACAGUUGACCCCACAUUUGCCCUAAGACUCGAACCUAACAAUAACACAACCCUCCUUCUCUAAAUUCGACACUCAGAUUCAAAUGUUAUGGUUCUUAAUGUUUGGAAUCCAAGCAACAACCAUCUUCCUCCAUAAACGUCUGAAAUCGAGUACAACCUCCGUGUCUUGCGUUUUCCUUUUGAAAUUCGAACAUAGCCUUCCCAAUCCUUCUUCCUCUGAGUUCAAACCACAAGGACAACAACCCGCAGCCCUUCUUCUAAAAUUUCAAAAUCAAUUGUUGGUAAUUUCGCUGAUCUUGUUCGAAAACAGCCACCCUCUUUUUCCCCUCCGUUCGCAUCUGUUUCUGUCAAAGAGGGGGUUGUACAGCAACCCUUCUUGGCAAAACAAACCCCAUUUGUUAAUCCCCUAAUUGUUCUUGAUGUUCCUUUGAAAGCAAACCUCCAUGGAUUCUAAUUCUUUUUGGAAGUUCAUAUCGGGUUGGUUCGACAACAGUUGGCAGCAGCCUUCCUGCGUUCGUUUGAUUCGAAAAUCAGCAGGCCAGGCAACAAUGUUCCUUUGUCUGUUUCUAAAACGAAAAUGCAAGGAGGAGGCGACAUCAUCGAGGAACCUUUCUAGUGAUCGCGGAGAACCAGAUUUAGCUCCUUGAAGCAUCUUUGGUGAGUAGUAGCAGUCCCUUAAAGGGUCUGGCCAGACAACAAAUUUGAAAAUGGUUUUAUUAAAGCUGUGAAUUUUAUAAUGUUGAGACAAAUUUUUUAUGAAUGAUUAUGCUGAUAUUGAUAUGUUUAAUGGAUCAAGCUCACGAGCUGAUCAUUGACGGAGUAAAGGGAAAAUCUCUCUUACUCCCUAUUUUGAGUUGAAUUGUCAUUCAAAUAUUGACUAGCCUCACCCGAGAGUGACAUAGCAUUAGAGCUAUGGAUGUUCCUCUCAACUAGACUCCCCAUGCGCACAUAGAUUUAGGAAACUGAUGUUGUUUUUAAACUUAUGAUUUGAAUUAUUGUGUUUUGUUGUUUUGGAUUGUUACAUCUCAUUCAGUUAAAAUCUGAACCCUUGUUGUUUUCAUCUUUUAGAUUGUUUACAAAUCAGAACCGGUCGGAAACGAUGGGUUAGCGGUGAUGAUUAGAGUUACAUGGAUGUUAUAUUGACCUGAAUUCGUGAGAGGUUGUAGUAUUGUAUUAGGUUUCUGGUAAAUGUAUAAUCGACUUGGUUGUGUUGUUAUAUUGGACUUUUAGAAUGACUUUUAUGAUUACAUUGUAUUAGUUAGAUGUUUGGUUUGAGAAUAAGUUGAUUUAGCUAUAUUUUGGAACUAGUGACCCCAUUGCUCAAGUUUUGGAACUGAGAUUUAAUUUUUUUCAGAAUUAAACCCCAUGAUGACCCUGUUUACUCAGUCAACGAUAAGUCGGGUUGUUACAGUUGUGUUGACACCCCACAAUAAAACGGGGUUGUAAAAAGGAAAUAUAGGCAUCUAGGGCAAGUUAUAAGGUCUUUAAUAUUACAAUCAAAAUUGCCUACAUCUUUUUCGGGAUAUUCUGUACAAUGUGCAGCAUUCCUAAUUAAAAAGAUGCUCCUAAGUACUCUACAAAACAAAAUCCCCUAUGAGAUCCUACAUGGAAAACCACCAAAGUAUGAGAUGCUUAAACCUUUUGGGUGUCUAUGUUAUGCUUCUAAUUUAAGAAAAGAUAGAAGAAAGUUAGAUCCUAAGGCUACUCCUUAUGUCUUCAUUGGCUAUGCACAAAGUCAAAAAGGGCUACAAAUUAUAUAAUUUAAACACUAAGAAUGUGUUUAUUUCUAGAGAUGUGUAAUUCCUUGAAAAAUUCUUUCCAUAUCAUAUUAUCAACUCAAAUUCCAAGUUAAUGUCACAAUUCUUUCUACCAAAGACUAGUUCUGCUCACAUCAAUAAAGAUGAACUUAUUCCCUGUGAGUAUAGUCCUAUCAUUCCAAGUAAAAAUGACCACAAAAUUUGCCUAAGGCAAACUGAUCUGCAUGAACAAAAGCAGAUAAAAGAUCAAACAACAAAGAGUCGCAAAGAAACCUGUAUAUUUGGAAGACUAUGUUUGUAAUCAGGUUGUAACACAUUGGUGCAAAUUGAUUCAUUUUAAUGCACUAAGUUCAUCUAAGAAAGAGAAAGUCUAUAAGCAUAACACUUAUAAUGAACCAAGUUAUUAUAAGGAGGCCUCCCAAAAUCUUCUUUGGAUAGAAGCCAUGACAGCGGAAUUAGAGGCAUUAAGAAAAAAUAACACUUGGUUUGUUGUUGCUCUUCCCAAAGGGAAGAAAGCCAUUGGAUGCAAAAUAGGUAUAUAAGGUGAAAUUGAAAGCUGAUAGGUCUUUAGUGAGGUUCAAAGCAAGAUUAAUUACAAAGGGAUACAAUCAAAAAUAUGGCAUUGACUAUGAUAAGACUUUUUCACCUGUGGUGAAAAUGACAACCAUUAGGUGUAUUCUUGUUUUUGUUGCAUUUGAAAAAUGGAUUGUUUAUCAACUAGAUGUUAAAUGUGUUGAUAAUCCCCAAGGGAAUUUAAAAAAAAAAAAUCUUUAUAUGGGCUCUAGCAAGCCUCAAGGCAAUGGCAUGCCACGCUCCUUGAAGAGCUCAAAAGUCUUGAUUAUGUCCAAUCCAAAAAUGAUUAUUCAAUUUUAUUUAAAAAGUGUCUUCGGUCAUUAUCAAUGUAACAGUGUAUGUAGAUGAUAUCCUUGUCACUGGAAAUAAUUCACAAGAAAUACAAAGACUAAAGGAUCACCCUGGAAUACACAGACACGUCCCUGGAUUGGCAUGUCCCAUGUUGGACACGGACACGCGAAAAUUCGUGUCCGACACGCCAAAUGAAGUGUCCAAUAUUUUAAUAUUUUUCCGGACACGCGGACACGGCAAGCAGUCGAGGACACGUUUUUUUAAAAAAAUAAUAAAAAUAAAAAAAUUGAAAUCAUAGUUCAUAAGCAGAAUUCUGAAGCAGAAGCACUCAUCACUCGAAUUCCCUUCCCUCUAUUUGUCUUGGCAUGACGGAUCUUUCUCUCGAUGAGCCCGAGUUGGAAACUACUUUUGUAGCGGAGGAUGAUGAUGGAUGUCAUAUGGAUGAUGUGUGAUGAUCAAAUAUAAAUUUACCUAUUUAUUUGGUUUUCUUUGAUUUGGUUUGUAUGACUAUUUUUAAAUACUCAUGUUGUUUAUUUGAUACUUAUUUGCAUUUUAUGUGAGUUUUAUGUUUUUAAAGUGUUUAUUUACAUAUAUCAAAUAAAAGAUUGUAAAAUUAUCUUUAAUUUGAUAUAUUUAUUAUAUUACCAUUUUCGUGUCCCCGUGUCCGCCAUUUUUAAGUUGGCAUUUUCCCGUACCCGUGUUGUGUCCGUGUCCGUUUUAGUGCAACCUAGGGAUCACCUUCAUAGCAAAUUCACUAUAAAGGAUUUAGGACACAUACAUUACUUCCUUGAAAUGGAGGUAAGCCAUACAUCACAAGGAAUCAUUCUUACUCAAAAUAAAUUUACUAAAGAACUCCUCAAAUCCAGUGGCAAAGAUUGUUUCAAGAAAGCUGUCACUCCUUUACCUUUAAAUUUAAAACUUUCUGCCACAGAAGGGGAGGUUAUUGAGGACCCUAGUAUGUAUAGGAGCAUAAUAGGAAAGCUUAAUUUCCUUACUAAUAUAGGCCUGACUUAUCAUACAUUGUGCAGACUUUUAGUCAAUUCAUGCGACAACCUAGAUCAUCUCAUGGGGAAGCUUUAAUGCAUGUUCUUAACUAUGUUAGUACUAUCUGUGGCCAAGGUAUUGUUCUUAAAGAAGAUGAUAAACUGAUCUUAUAAGCUUUUUCAGACUCAGUUUGGGCCUCCUGCCUAGACACUAGAAGGUCUGUAAUUGGAUACUUAUUAUUGCUUGGAAAGUCACCUAUUUGCUAGAAGUCUAAAAAGUAGCAAAUUGUGUCCAAAUCUAGUUCAGAGGCAAAGUAUAAGGCCAUGUCCCAAGCUGCUUCAGAAGUAACUUGGGUAGUAAGGUUACUUGAAGAAAUUGGUAUUAGAAACCUCAGGCCUGUGACCCUCAACUGUGACAAUCAAUCAACUAUAUAUAUUGGUAAAAAUCCAGUAUUUCAUGAAAGGACGAAGAACAUUGAGGUUGACUGUCAUUUUACAAGAGAUAAAGUGAUGGAGGGUCUAUUGUAACUAUCAUAUCUUCCCGCCAAUAACCAAUUGGCUGAUGUUCUUACAAAAGUUUUGCGUUCAAAACAGUUUAGAGAAUUAUUAUCCAAACUAGGAGUCACUAGAAAAGAUAACUCCUAGUUUGAGGGGGGAUGUUGAGAUAGAUGUUACUUUUGUUCUAAUCUGUAUACUGCAGGUCUGUCUUCAUGACUGCAUUGUUGCUUCUUGGUUACAAGGUUGCAGGAUCAAAGUUCCCUUCUUGGCACAAUCAUAACAAUCCUACCAGCUUAAGGUAACAGUCCCACAUCAGGCUUCUACAGACAGCAGUUCAUCUAGGCUGUUGAUCCUUCUUUAUGUUUUUGUCCUUAUCUUCUAAUUGUUGUUAGUUAGGUUGUUAUUGAUCAUUAGCCACGUGUAUAAAGUUAGUUAGCAACUUUAUUGCAACAAACUUUACAGCUUCAUUCUUUCUUGUUUAUGGUUUAGUUACCUAUAUAAGGAAUACAUUCCUUCACUUUGUAGUGAACAAUUAUAAUUCAGUUUCUAAAAUAAGAAGUUUUAUUUCUUUUUGUA